rnacentral:rRNA from 1 species
CAAUAGCGUAUAUUAAAGUUGUUGCAGUUAAAAAGCUCGUAGUUGGAUUUCUGGUGGGAGCGAUCGGUCUGACGCUUAGCGCGAGUACUUGCAUCGUCUCCGGCCAUCCUUGGGGAGAGUCUGUCUGGCAUUAAGUUGUCGGGCAGAGGAUCCUCAUCGUUUACUGUGAAAAAAUUAGAGUGUUCAAAGCAGGCUUAUGCCGUUGAAUAUAUUAGCAUGGAAUAAUAAGAUAGGACUUUGGUACUAUUUUGUUGGUUUGCGCACCAAAGUAAUGAUUAAUAGGGACAGUUGGGGGUAUUCGUAUUCCGUUGUCAGAGGUGAAAUUCUUGGAUUUACGGAAGACGAACUACUGCGAAAGCAUUUACCAAGGAUGUUUUCAUUAA